rnacentral:rRNA from 1 species
GCAGAGACCACCCCUCGUACCUUUUGCAUCAUGAUCCAGCAAGUUUACUCAAGCAAAGAGAACUCUAGUUUGAACCCCCGAAACUUGACGAGCUACUCCGAGACAGCCAAUUAUGGGCCAACCCGUCUCUGUGGCAAAAGAGUGGGAAGAUCUCCGAGUAGGGGCAAAAAACCUACCGAGCCAAGUAAUAGCUGGUUGCCCAAUAAAUGAAUAAAAGUUCAGCCCCGCCUAGCCCAAUUCAAAAUAGUUCAACAAAAAAGAUAAAGAGCUCACCCGCGGGAGUUAAUCAGAGGAGGUACAGCUCCCCUGAUACAGGAUACAACCUUUUUAGGUGACAAAAGAAUAUUAUCAAAUAAAGGCCUAAGGUCCCAGUGGGCCUGAAAGCAGCCAUCUAACCCGAAAGCGUUAAAGCUCCGACCACAAUUUAACCUUUUAUUUAAUUUUUAUCUCUACCCCCCCUAAUUCCAUUGGGCCUCCCCAUGCAUUUCAUGGAAGAGACUAUGCUGAAACGAGUAACAAGAAGUAUGAACUUCUCCACGCACAAGUGUAUGCUAAAUUGGACCAACCACCGGCAACUAACGAACCCAACAAAAGAGGGCCCUACACACCCACCACCUCCAACCAAGAAAACCAUGUUCCCCUAAAAUCGUUACCCCAACACAGGAGUGCUAGAACAAGGAAAGACUAAAAGAAAAAAAAGGAACUCGGCAAACCCAGACCCCGCCUGUUUACCAAAAACAUCGCCUCUUGCACCCUAAAGUAUAAGAGGUCCCACCU